GGAGAGAUGCUCGAGCGGUUGAAGAGGCACGCCUGGAAAGCGUGUAGCCGCCUAAAGUGGCUCGUGGGUUCGAAUCCCACUCUCUCCGCAA
rnacentral:tRNA from 3 species